CUGGGCAGAAGGAUCCUCCUUCCUUUCAUCACUGGUUUUGAACGCUGCUCCCAGAAGACCAUGAACAAAGAGGACAUCUGCUCUGAUGGGCUGGCUGAUGCAGAAAAGGGAGUUCUUAAGAGAUUCACAGUGGGCACUCACCCUUUGUGCAGCAAGAGUCUGACUGGUUUCACGUAAAGCAAGAGAAGUAAAGUACUGGA